GCCUAGGAUGUAAGAUUUGGAGAAAGGAAGAAAAUGUUCAGCAUCCAAGGAGAGGAGCUAAGUGAUCGGGGGUAGAUAGCUAACUGAAGAGCACAAUCCAAAAAGCAAAGGAGAACCAAGUCAGAAAAGAAUGUCUCCAAAGCCAAGGCCAGAAAAACCAAGAUUCGCAAAAGGAGGACCCACCAUCACCUGCCCAUGAGGAUCUUGCUCCAUAGCUCCCCCAGUGUGGCAACAUGGAGGGAGGGAGAGGGACAGGAAGUGACGUCAGAAGAGGCCAGCGAGAACGCCCAGCAAGCUUAACGCUUGGGCUGUUCUUGCCAUCAGCACAAGGCUGAGAAGACGAUUCUGCUAUCAUGAGCGUUCUUCUUUAUGUCCUUGGCAUGGAGAGAACUGGCCACUGUUCUCAAGAGUGUUCCUCGUCCUGGCCGGCCAGCUUGCGCUGCUGGCAAAACAGCCAGCCAAGCCAGGGCACAGUUUUGCGGGACUUCGGGAGAAGCACAGACCACCCCGGCCUCAUCAGCCUGAGGCACCCAUGCCCUGGGCUGGGUCUGCAGCUACAGGUCAGCGUCCACGUGCAGGACAUAGGACAAAAGCUUCAGAAGAGGUCGGCAGCCCAUUCUGAUGGAGUUCUGACCAACUACAGGGUAAGAAUGCUUCUCAAGGAAAUGUUCAAAGCCGAAAGCAGUCUGGAAACACUUUGAUGUCAAAAUAGAGGUGACAUUGGUCUCUUUCUCUGGAUGGUGUUCUCUCACUCAUCCUUUUCCGUAUGUCUUCCUCUAUUCUGUCACCUAGGUCUGCACCAUAAUUUGUAUGUUCCAAGUUCUCCACAAUUUGGCAACUGAGUCUGCCCUGAGCAAGAACACAUGGGCAGAAAUAGCAAUAAGAUACCAUUUGGGACCUAUCAAAUUGAUUAGAUUUUCUAAAUGAUUAUGCCUAGUGUUAGUGAACAUUCUGGGAAAGAGGAAUUGUCACGUCCUGCUGGUUGGAGUGGGGAUAAAUAUGUACCCCCUUUCUGAAGGGCAAUUGUCAGUUGGUAUCUAAAGCUUUAAAAAUGUGCAUAUCUCUUGCUGCAGUAAUGCUGCUUCUGGGAAUUUGUCCUACAGGAAUUAGCUAUGCGCAGGAUUUAUAUGUGAGAAUGUUCCUGAUGGAGCUAUUGCAAAAAAAAGUAUAAACAACCUAAAUAUCCAACAGCAAGGACUAUUUGACUCAUGCUAAAGAUAUAUAGUGCUAUACUACAGAGACAUUAAAAUCGUGUCUUAUUAGCAUAUUUAGAAAAUAUGCUGUAUCAAAUGGAAAAGCAGAUUAUAAAGCUGUAUAUAUCAUAUGGUAUAGAUCUUUUAAAUGCAUAGGAAGAAUAUACACCAAAGAAUUGUUUGAUUUCUCGGUGGCAAGUUCAUGCAUAAUUUUAAUUUUCUUUUUUUGUAAUUCUAUGCCUUUCCCAGAAGUUCUCCACCAACUACUUUUUAAAUCAGAAAAAAAAUUCACCUUAUAGACAAAAACAAGUAGAACAAUUAAAGAGCCGAGAAAGAAUGUUUCCUUGCUUUUCACCCUGUUCUUCCCUGCUCUUCUCUUGUCUAUCCGGAGCACUGCUGUGGUCCACAGCAGUACUUAUAAAACAACAUGGCACAGCCGGCGGAGGGCUCUCCACUGGCCACAGUGCUGGGCGAUUGCCCUGUGUCUUCUCCACGCAGUGACUUGCUCGGAAAGGCCCAACUAACCAACUAACUGAUGAGCUGGACUUCUGACUUGAUCUGAUUUCAGAACCCACAUUGCCUCAAAGACCAGGAAGCCCAGAAAAGAACAAACCACCCUACAAAUCGCAGAAAGGAAUUGCAUGCUAAAUCAUCACAUCCUAAGAUAGGCCGAUCUCCAGGGAGACCCAGGUCUACCCAGACCAGAAAUCAGUCUCUACAAAUGCACGAGGCAAUGAGUUGCCAAAUGGUUAGUUAACCUGACCAUCAUGGAAAUGCUUAUAGAAACCCAUUUUUUAUUUAUUAUUUCAGCCUGUAACUUCUACUGGAGAGAAAAGUUUCCUAAAUUUUUUAACCUCACUGCCAGGGAAUUCUUUAGUUGUUGUUGUUGUUGUUUGUUUUAUCCAUUUGGGCCUUUUUUGCCCCCCCUUAAUUCUAUCCUUUGAGGGUCUUGUGUUACCUUAGCCAUGCCCCUUAUAAAUCUUCCAAUAUCCCUGGAUUCAAGCCCCAAUAUCACAAAAAGAAAAAAAAUCUUCCAAUAUGUGGCACAUACGCCUACUGGUUGAAUGGCAAAAUGCAAAUCCCACGAGGGCGGAGAGUGUCUGUCCUUAGUAGGCACCAUACCAUGGCAUCUAGACUACCCAGUGAAAAAAAGCUCAAAAAUUCUACCGCUGUGAGUCCUAUCUCUUCCCAGGUUUUCAGGACAAAACAGUCCUCUGUAUAGCCUGGGCUAGAGCACCAGCUCCUACCUCCCCUUGUGCCCUCUUAAUUGCUUCAGCUGUAGGUUUCGGUAUCUGUCUUGAAAUGCUGAGGUCCUAUUUACAACUUGUACCACUGGCAGAAUUUACCAGGAACGUUCACAAGGGGAUGAUCAAGGAUUCGCUUUGGUUUCUGUGUUCCAAGGCUUCUCUCCCCUUCUAAAAUAAACUUCCCAUCCUCUCCCAGAGUAAAGCUGCUAGUUCUGCUAACUGGGUCACUUGCCAG
rnacentral:lncRNA from 1 species